AUUUCUGACGAGUCCCAAAUAGGACGCAACGCGCGUCCUGAAU
rnacentral:hammerhead_ribozyme from 1 species